CAUAAAUGGCCGCAGUACCUUGACUGUGCUAAGGUAGCAUAAUCAAUUGGCUUUUAAUUGAAGUCUGGAAUGAAAGAAUAAAUGAAGUUAUUCUCUCUUAAAAGUACUAUUAAAAAGUUAUUCAUUAGGUGAAAAUACCUAAAUUUAAAUAAAAGACGAGAAGACCCUAAGAGUUUUUAAUAAAAAUAAUGUAUAUUAUUUAUUUUUUUGUUGGGGCGACAAUUUAACA
rnacentral:rRNA from 1 species